AAUACUAAAUAAAUAAAUAAUAACGAUAAUCACUUACGUUCGAAGCCUAGAUGGAACUCGUCCAGAGGUUGAGUACUCUAUGUCGACAAGGUUGUUCAUUUAUAUGAGAAUCAUUUGUUAAACGAUAUUAACAUAAUUAUAAACAGUUAAAUGUAUUUUCAAAGAAUUUUCUUCCUGCUUCAUAAUGUGGCAAGGAUCUUGUAAUACAUUCAAUCUUCAUAAGUAUCAAGUUUAAAUCUUUCAACAAACAGAUGAUUUACCAUCAACAAGUCGUCCAGACCAUGAAAAUGAGGAUUUGAAUCGUGUAUUAACCUGCCGCACUUGUCAACAAACCUUUGACUGUAGAAGAACUCAUUAUCUUCAUCAAAUGAAUGAACACUUCCAAAUGGGGCAUAUAACUCCCAUAAAAAGGAGGAGUCUUAUUUCUUUUAUAAAAAGUCGCUAUUAAACCAAUAAAAUGAAAGCUUAAAUUCUGGAAAAAUGUCAAAAGCUGAAAUCUCGAAGUGGUCUAAAAACUGGUAUUUUUCUUAUGACCUUUUUCCAAUGGAUGAAGAUCAUUUACGGUAUAAUGAUAUGGAUUUGAGACAUGCGUAUGAAGGCAGAAAGUACUUAAAUUAUAUCGUAUGGUCGUGUUCAAAAAAAGAUUUGCAAACAUGCCACGUUGAAGGAUAUAUUCGUUUCAAAUAUCCGAAACAAAAACGAACGGCGCGUGGAUCAUUUAUUUUUCGAUGGCCUGACCCAUACGAAUUGAGAAGUUGUUUUCAUUUCCCUGGAACUGAAUAUGUGAACAAAAUUCGACAAACGGGAAAUUAUAAAGAACUCGGAUGUUUUAAUGAACAUAAUGUAAGAAUUCCAAGAUGGGCAGAUUUAACUAGACUCAAAACUGUAAAACAAUGUCCCAUUUGUUUAGAAAUCAAUGUGAAAAGUAAUUUAAAAUGUCAACAAUGUCAUCAAGUUUCGUGCUGUAGACAGUGUUAUAGAGAACUUGCCACCAUACCAAAUCAGCGGUGUCCUAUUUGUCGUCAUCAAUAAUAAAUAUUUGUCGUGGCGUGUUUGUUCUCCCAUCUUUUUUGCAAAGUCUUGUCUUAUUUGUAUUUUUUCCUUAUGGAUAUUAAUAUCUUAAUAAAGGAUAU